rnacentral:rRNA from 1 species
ACGCUCGACACCUACGUGAGGCAGCAGUCGGGAAUAUUGCGCAAUGGAGGAAACUCUGACGCAGUGACGCCGCGUGCAGGAAGAAGGUUUUCGGAUUGUAAACUGCUUUAGACAGGGAAGAAAGAAAUGACAGUACCUGUAGAAUAAGCUCCGGCUAACUACGUGCCAGCAGCAGCGGUAAUCUGAGCGGGCUGGCAAGGC